rnacentral:lncRNA from 10 species
GGGGGCGGGGCCAAGAUGGCCGACUAGAAGCAGCAGUAAUUGUAGGCUGCCAUUGAAAAGAACCAAAACAGAGUGUGAAUCCUGCACCGGCAACUGAAGUAUCCGCGUUCUGUCACCAGGACUGACUAGGCGGCUAGUGUGACCCAAGGAGAAGAAGGAAGAGCAGUGUGGUGCGGCAGCCCACCUGAGAACCACAUGGGCAGGGGAGCCCCUAUCCCCCAGCCAAGGGAGUCGAGUCAGAACAGCUGUGCUGAUGGCUGGGACUCUCUCAGGACAGCUUGGAAGGCCCGACCUGGCAGCUCUCUGGGCCCACCGGAGCUCUCCUGCCUUGUCUUGUACCUGCCUCUCUGUGCUCCAGCCACACUGCCAUCUCUCCGUUUCUCAAAUGCUACGUAAAGCCGCAUUCUCUUCCCACAGAUAGAAAAUGCUGUGCUCGCCCUUGAAAAGCCUCUCUCUCCAAUGAAUUCCCACUCAUUCCUCAAUUUUCAGUUGAAGCAUCAUUCAUUCCUUUGGGAAACCUUUUCUAGCCCCUAACACCCUGCAUUGGUCCUAACAUACCUUGGCAUGACUGCUGUAGCUCUGUAUCUGCGUGGGUACUGACGGAUGUGACUCCAGGAGGGAGGGUGUGCAGCCUGUGGCUCACCACGGUAUCCCCAGCACCUGUCUCUCUGCUUGCCUAUUAACUUCCUAAAUUAGUGCAUUUUCCCCUGUCAUUUAAAAAAAAACUUUAAUUUUUUCAUUUGUAUAUAUCGACAGAGCACAAGUACAGAUUUCUUGCAUGCCUAUGUUGUAUUGUGGUAAAGUCUGGGCUUCUAUGUGUACCCAUCACUCAAAUAGUAAACAUUGUGCCUGAGAGGUAAUUUUUCAGCCCUCACCCCCCUCCACUCUCCCACCUUUUGGAGUCUCCAAUGUCUAUUAUUCCACUCCAUAUGUCCACAUGUACCCAUUGUUUAGCUCCCACUUGUGAGUGAGAACAUGCGGUAUUUGACCUCCUCUUUCUGAGUUAUUUCACUUAGGAUAGUGGCUCCCAGUUCCAUCUAUGUUGCUGCAAAAAAACAUGAUUUCAGUCUUUUUUAUGCCUGCAUGGUAUUUCCAUGGUGUACAUGUACCAUAUUUUUUUUAAUCCAAUCCUCCUUUGAUGGACACUUAGGCUGACUCCAUAUUUUUGCUAUUGUGUAUAGUGCCACGAUCAACAUACAAGUGCAGGUG